AUUGAACGCUGGCGGCAGGCCUAACACAUGCAAGUCGAGCGGAGCGGCGGACGGGUGAGUAAUGCCUAGGAAUCUGCCUGGUAGUGGGGGAUAACGUCCGGAAACGGGCGCUAAUACCGCAUACUAUCAGAUGAGCCUAGGUCGGAUUAGCUAGUUGGUGGGGUAAAGGCCUACCAAGGCGACGAUCCGUAACUGGUCUGAGAGGAUGAUCAGUCAAACCGGAACUGAGACAAGGUCCCGUAUCCUAAGGGAGGGAGUAGGGGGGAAUAUUGGACAAAGGGCGAAAGCCUGAUCCAACCAUGGCGGGUGUUGGAAAAAGGUCUUCGGAUUGUAAAGCACCUUAAGGUUGGAGGCGUUUACAACAGAAUAAGCACCGGCUAAAUUCGGGCCAGCAGCCGCGGUAAUUC
rnacentral:rRNA from 1 species